rnacentral:rRNA from 1 species
AGUGAACGCUGGCGGUAGGCCUAAUACAUGCAAGUCGAACGGCAGCACAGUAAGAGCUUGCUCUUACGGGUGGCGAGUGGCGGACGGGUGAGGCAUACAUCGGAAUCUACUUUUUCGUGGGGGAUAACGUAGGGAAACUUACGCUAAUACCGCAUACGACCUACGGGUGAAAGCAGGGGAUCUUCGGACCUUUCGCGAUUGAAUGAGCCGAUGUCGGAUUAGCUAGUUGGCGGGGUAAAGGCCCACCAAGGCGACGAUCCGUAGCUGGUCUGAGAGGAUGAUCAGCCACACUGGAACUGAGACACGGUCCAGACUCCUACGGGAGGCAGCAGUGGGGAAUAUUGGACAAUGGGCGCAAGCCUGAUCCAGCCAUACCGCGUGGGUGAAGAAGGCCUUCGGGUUGUAAAGCCCUUUUGUUGGGAAAGAAAAGCAGCAGGAUAAUACCCCGCUGUUCUGACGGUACCUAAAGAAUAAGCACCGGCUAACUUCGUG